CAGGAGAUAGUUUAAUAUAAAAUAUUAAUUUUGGAGAUUAAUGAUGAAGAAUAAAUUCUUUUCUCUUGA
rnacentral:tRNA from 1 species